rnacentral:rRNA from 1 species
GAUGAACGCUGGCGGCGUGCCUAACACAUGCAAGUGGAGCGACGAACCCGGACUUGUCCGGGGGCAAAGCCGCGAACGGGUGAGUAACACGUGGAUUAUCUGCCCCAAUGACCGGGACAACCCGAGGAAACUCGAGCUAAUACCGGAUGUGCUCUUCGGAGGAAAGGAAGCUUCGGCCUCCGCAUUGGGAUGAGUCCGCGGCGCAUUAGCUAGUUGGUGGGGUAAUGGCCUACCAAGGCGACGAUGCGUAGCUGGUCUGAGAGGACGAUCAGCCACACUGGAACUGAAACACGGUCCAGACUCCUACGGGAGGCAGCAGUGGGGAAUCUUGCGCAAUGGACGAAAGUCUGACGCAGCCACGCCGCGUGAGUGAAGAAGGCCUUCGGGUUGUAAAGCUCUGUCGGAGGGGACAAAAACCAUUAUGGUUAAUAGCCAUAGUGCUUGAUGGUACCCUUAAAGGAAGCACCGGCUAACUUCGUGCCAGCCGCCGCAGUAACAC